UACAGAGGUCUCAAGCGUUGUUCGGAUUCAUUGGGCGUAAAGGGUGUGUAGGUGGCGCGCUAAGUCGGGUGUGAAAUUUCGGAGCUUAACUCCGAAACUGCAUUCGAUACUGGCGUGCUUGAGGACUGGAGAGGAGACUGGAAUUCAUGGUGUAGCAGUGAAAUGCGCAGAUAUCAGGAGGAACACCUAUGGCGAAGGCAGCUCGCUGGGAUGGUACUGACGCCGAGGCGCGAAAGCGUGGGGAGCAAACAGG
rnacentral:rRNA from 1 species